UGCUGGAGGGCACCACUCCGCCCCGUAGGCUGUGCCUGCAGGCCGGGGAGCGGGUACUCCGGUGCUUGAGGACCUCCAAGCGAGGUGAACUGCAGAGGGACCCAGGAGGGUGGAAGGAUGCUGGCUGGAAGUCGCAGAGGGCCAGGUUCAAAUCCUGCCUCUGCUAUUUAUUGGCUCCCAGACCUUGGAUCUGUGAAUUAACCUUUGAGCCUCCGACUCCUCCUGCCUAAGCCUGGUAUAAUAGUCUCUCCCUCGCAGUGUUGCUGUGUGGAUUCAGGGUUAUUUAAUGACCCCAGCAGAGCUCUGGAACAUUUGUGGAGCUGGCAGGGCAAGGUGAGGGACAGCCCAACGAAGGCAGGUCCCUGAAGUCCUGGUUAACACGGGUUUCCAGAAUUCGAGCCAGCCUGUGGUUUCUCCAGCUCGCCUGAAAGCUGGGGACACUGCAUGCACCAGGUAGUCAUUCCUGCACACCCCGCGCCCGCCCCACGAACUUGAGGGUCCAUAGUUCGCCCCACCUCCUCCCCAUCUCUCCAGCCACCUCCAGCUCAUCCUCCCAGUCUGGCUCGGCGCGAAGACUCCACAGCACCUUUCAGCAAGGCCCGGGACCUUGCGAUGCACCAGUCGGCUCCUGUGCUCCUCCCCAGUCGUGCGUUCCUCAGGGGCAGGCUACAGAGGAGGCUCCCGGGAAAGAGGAGAAAACCAGCGGCCACCCGGGACGCCCGUUCUGCGGGUGGCUUCGGAAAGUGCCCCCAAGCCCCAAGGAGAUUGCGGUGCCUGAGGAAAAGGUGGUGCCACUUUCUGCUCCGUGUAGUCCCAGUGUCAGGGGCCUUCUGUGAACCACGUGUUGGAAGCUGGGGUAGCCUUUGACCAGGAUUGGGACCCGGAGGUGAGGCCAGCUCUCAGACAUCAACCAAAGGACCCACUGCAUCUCCCUCCUUCCCCUGCCAACAAAGGUACAAGUAGAUGUUGACACCCCCUCAGACAUGGAAGGAGACCCAUUUUUUUCUUUUUCUAGUUCUGCAUAAAUGGCCUUAAACAAAAUAUGCAAACAGGCUCCUUGCCUCUCCCGAAGGCAGCCCACCACAGAAGCCCUGCCACAGCCCAAGAGGUUAGAUGCUGCCAGGAUCUGUUUCCGCCACAGAGCAGCUCUGUGCAGCACAUUCCUGUCAACCACCCCAAGUGCUUCAGGGCUUCCGAGGCAGUGACAGUGAGGGCAGCGGCACUUCUGGGUCACCGUGGGACAGGUCUCUGCCUCAAGACACGGAUUGACAAGCUCUCUGAGUGGGCCAGGAGCUCCUUAAUGUGAGCCAAGCCCAGCCCUGCCACCUUGGCCCCAUUCAUCUCCAGGAUCUCAUCGCCCACCCCCAGCAGCCCUGAGUACAGCUUGGCCGUGCUCACAUCAGCCAUCUCCUGCACGUAGAUCCCUGCAAAGGAAAACAGAAGAAUUUCACAGUGACACCCAAAUCGAAGAAGUGCAUCUCUGGAACGCUGACCAUGUUGGUGAGGUGCUGUUUGUGUGGCACAGGGAGGAGGUGCUCAUAGCGGGCACUUCUCUGCGCGCAUGCACACACACACAUACCCCUCAUUAUUCCACCUCACAGCCGCAACUGGCUUUAGACAGUGCAUCUCCUCCACGGUCUAACUUCAUUCCACUGUCUCUGCUUUUAAAGUGGAAAUGCUCCUAGUGCAAAUAACGCGUUAAAUUGUUGUUAUUUAUUUAUACCUGACUGUGAGUGAGCUACUCUUUUUCUGAGAUGAGUUUUGCUUGUAGAAUAGGAAGGAAAAUAGUUUUUAAAAAUUAGGAACCAUACCUACUCGGUGCCUGGCACUAUGGUCCAGUUGCUGCCUCAGGUCGCCCAGGCCCAGCAUAAAGGCCGGGGUGGUGGGAAGGUAUCGUCGGAAAAGCAAAAGUGGCUGAGCCACAUCCAAGCCUGGUUUGCUGCACUCUAUUGCCAAAGAGUGACCCUGGCCUCAGUCUUACUCAGAUAUGGUUCCUCAAUUGGGAUGGGAAAACACCCAGGAAAAAUAAAAAUUCUAGCCACAUAUUUCAAA